UGGGAACUUGCCUUUGCGAGGGGGAUAACAGUUGGAAACGACUGCUAAUACCGCAUAAUGUCUUCGGACCAAACGGGGCUUCGGCUCCGGCGCAAAGAGAGGCCCAAGUGAGAUUAGCUAGUUGGUAAGGUAAAGGCUUACCAAGGCGACGAUCUCUAGCUGUUCUGAGAGGAAGAUCAGCCACACUGGGACUGAGACACGGCCCAGACUCCUACGGGAGGCAGCAGUGGGGAAUAUUGCACAAUGGGGGAAACCCUGAUGCAGCCAUGCCGCGUGUGUGAAGAAGGCCUUCGGGUUGUAAAGCACUUUCAGUUGUGAGGAAAAGUUAGUAGUUAAUACCUGCUAGCCGUGACGUUAACAACAGAAGAAGCACCGGCUAACUCCGUGCCAGCAGCCGCGGUAAUACGGAGGGUGCGAGCGUUAAUCGGAAUUACUGGGGCGUAAAGCGCACGCAGGCGGUUUGUUAAGCUAGAUGUGAAAGCCCCGGGCUCAACCUGGGGAUGGUCAUUU
rnacentral:rRNA from 1 species